GAUAAACGCUGGCGGCGUGCAUAACACAUGCAAGUCGAACGAAGUGGCGAACGGGUGAGUAACACGUGAGUAACCUGCCUUACACAAGGGGAUAGCCUUUGGAAACGAAGAAUAAUACCCUAUAGUGUAAGAUGGACUUGCGUCUGAUUAGCUAGUUGUGGGGAUAAAGGCCCACCAAGGCAACGAUCAGUAGCCGGCUUGCGAGAGUGUACGGCAACAUUGGGACUGAGACACGGCCCAAACUCUACGGGAGGCAGCAGUGGGGAAUUUUGCACAAGGGGGGAAACCCUGAUGCAGCGACGCCGCGUGAUUUAGCAGGCCGUCGGGUUGUAAACCUCUUCGCUAUCGAACACUAUAGGGUGGGUUGAGGGUAGGUGGAGAAGAAGCGCCGGCUAACUACGUGCCAGCAGCCGCGGUAAUUC
rnacentral:rRNA from 1 species